GAUACUGGCGGACGGGUGAGUAACACGUGGGUAACCUGCCUGUAAGACUGGGAUAACUCCGGGAACCGGGGCUAAUACCGGAUGCUUGUUUGAACCGCAUGGUUCAAACAUAAAAGGUGGCUUCGGCUACCACUUACAGAUGGACCCGCGGCGCAUUAGCUAGUUGGUGAGGUAAUGGCUCACCAAGGCAACGAUGCGUAGCCGACCUGAGAGGGUGAUCGGCCACACUGGGACUGAGACACGGCCCAGACUCCUACGGGAGGCAGCAGUAGGGAAUCUUCCGCAAUGGACGAAAGUCUGACGGAGCAACGCCGCGUGAGUGAUGAAGGUUUUCGGAUCGUAAAACUCUGUUGUUAGGGAAGAACAAGU
rnacentral:rRNA from 1 species